AUCGCGCCAGCGGUAGACGCAGGGUAGCUGUGUUCGGAGCGGAUAAGUGCUGAAAGCAUAUAAGUACGAAGCCCACCCCAAGAUGAGAAUUCCCAUACCACAAGGUAGUAAGACCCCGGGAAGACCACCCGGUUGAUAGGACGCAGGUCGAAGAGCCGCAUAAAGGCGGUUUGCAGCUGAGCGUUACUAAUUAGGUCGAGGGCUUAUCCAG
rnacentral:rRNA from 1 species